CGCCCACACGUCCUCCAUCCCCGGGCAGGCUGGAAGACUUGUGAUUUUGUUGUUUCCAAUGUCAACGGGAGCGAACAACAAAUCCCAGUCUCCUCCCUGCCCCGGGCACAGGCUCCGCACCAGUGA
rnacentral:pre_miRNA from 10 species